CCUAGAACUAGAAAUGAUCUAAGGUGCAACCUGCCCAGUGAUUUUAAUAAAAGUUGAUUAAUUUUAACCAAAUAAAUUAAAAGGACGCGGUAUUCUUGAUCGUGAUCAUGUAGCACAAUCAUGCGCCACUUAAUUAGCGGAUAGUAUGAAUGGUCGCACGAAAAUUUAACUUUCUUAAAAAAUAAUUUACUAAGAAUUUAACUAAUAGUUAAGAUGCUAUUUACAUUUGUAAGACGAUAAGACCCUAUAAAGCUUAACUAUAAAACCUUAAUAAUUUUAAUAAACUAAUUAAUAAAGGUAAGCAAAAUGAAAUGAAAUAAUUUUAACAUUUUAACAAUUACAAGGUAGGCCAAAAUGACCCGUUAAAAUAAAAGAAUUUUACUUAACGAUCAAUAAAUAAAAGCUACUUUAGGGAUAACAGGGUAAAAUUGUCCUAGAGCCUCUUAUUAAAGACAAAACUUACCACCUCGAUGUUGAACUAAGAUACCCCGACGAAGCAGAAAUUGUCAAAAGGUAGGUCUGUUUGACCUAUAAAAU
rnacentral:rRNA from 1 species